rnacentral:lncRNA from 1 species
UUAUAAGGAAGGCGCCGGUCCUCCAUUUCAGCCUUUUCUCUGCCAGGACGCGGCGGUGGCAUUUCUGGUCUUGUAAACAUCGGGGGCUCUUUGGGGCCU